ensembl:snoRNA
UGGCACAGAGCACGCAUUUGCGCAUAACUGGGGCCGUCUGUCCCUGCAGCAUCGGCCCUUUUAACCGUGAGCAACAUAG